UGGGGAAUUUUGCACAAUGGGGGAAACCCUGAUGCAGCGACGCCGCGUGAUUUAGAAGGCCUUCGGGUUGUAAAAAUCUUUUUUACGGGAUGAAAAUGACAGUACCGUAAGAAUAAGGUCCGGCUAAAUACGUGCCAGCAGCCGCGGUAAUACGUAUGGACCGAGCGUUGUCUGGAAUCAUUGGGCGUAAAGGGUACGUAGGCGGCCUAGUAAGUUAGAAGUUAAAGAAUAUAGCUCAACUAUAUAAAGCUUUUAAAACUGCUAGGCUUGAGAGAUGGAAGGGAAAGUGGAAUUCCUAGUGUAGCGGUGAAAUGCGCAGAUAUUAGGAAGAAUACCGGUGGCGAAGGCGACUUUCUGGUCAUCAUCUGACGCUGAGGUACGAAAGCGUGGGUAGCAAACAGG
rnacentral:rRNA from 1 species